rnacentral:misc_RNA from 1 species
AAAUUCGCCCGACCAUUCUCUGCAACUGCUUUUCUCGCUUCUUGCUAUUACGCUUCCGCCGCUAUCGACCUCUCACUCCGGCUGCUCUCCAGGGACAAUGGCCUCCCUCCAACAUGUGCGUGAUAUGCUGGCGAAGCUGGUUAGCUUCGAAACUGUGAGUGCGCGCACGAACCUGCCGCUGAUCGAGUACGUGCAGGGGUAUCUUGCGGCGUGCGGCGUGAAGCACGUGACGGUGAUGCGAUCGGCGGAUGGGAUCCAUGCAAACCUGUUGGCGACGCUACCAAGCGCGGAAGGCAGCGUGGAGGGCGGGCUGAUCCUGAGCGGGCACACAGAUGUUGUGCCAGUGGACGGGCAGAAGUGGGCAAGUGACCCGUUCGUGCUGACGGAGCGCGAUGGCAACCUUUACGGGCGCGGGUCGUGCGACAUGAAGGCGUUCAUUGCUGUGUGCCUUGCCCUUGUGCCGGAGUGGGUGCGUGCGCCACCGCGGAAGCCCGUGCAAAUCGCGCUUACUUACGACGAGGAGACGACGUUUGACGGCGUGCGGCAGCUGAUGCGCGAGCGGGGAAGCGAUCUGAAGAAGUGCGAGGGCUGCAUCAUCGGCGAGCCGACGAUGCUCGACCUCGUGAUUGCGCACAAGGGCAUCUUCUACAGCUACAUCACGUUCAAAGGCAAGGCUGCACACUCUUCGCUGCAGACUGCGGGGUACAACUCCAUCGAGCCUGCGAUGCGCGUGUUUCAGAAGCUUUUCGAGAUGCGUGAUCGCUUCGCCCGCGAGGGCCCCUUCGAGGAGGGCUUCAACAUCACCCACACGACUCUCUGCCCGGCUCUCACGACCGGCGGCAACGCGAUAAACACGAUCCCUGCAGAGUGCUCGCUGGGCUUCGAGUUCCGCAACGUGCCGUCUCACCCUGCAUCUGUGAUUAAGAAGGAGAUCUGGGACUUUAUCAGCGCGGAGACGGAGCGCGUGAAGCUGGCGUGCCCGGAGGGGGGCAUAGACGUGGUGAAGCGCGGCGAAGUCGAGCCCUUUGGCGGCAAUAAGGAUGCGUCGGUCGUGAAGGCCCUCAUGGCUGCCAACCCUGAGCUGCCGAAGAUGGCGAAGGUGUCGUUCUGCACGGAGGCGGGCGAGUACCAGGCCGCUGGCAUCAACUCCGUGGUGUGCGGCCCCGGCAACAUUGAGCAGGCACACAAGGCGAACGAGUUCGUGUCGCUGGAGCAACUGGACAAGGGCCUGUUGGUGGUUCGCCGCGUUGUGCAGCUGAUGUGCGGCGGGAGCGAGGCCAGCCAGUUGUGAGCCUGUAGCUGGCGGAGUGGCCCAGACAACGCUGGUGGGAGCCAAGUGAGGGUGACGGGGCGGCGACAGACGAGGGUGACACCGAGGCUGCAUCUGGCGGUGGCGGCUAUGCCUGCUCUCGUUGCCUACUUCCAUCCUUUUCUAGAUGUUCACGCCCGCCUCACGCCCCUCUCUCUUUCUCGGCAUGUGCCCCAUCACACGAACAUAGGUGCGACACGCGCACAAGCAGUUUUUGGCGGAAAGGAAAAACGACAGUGCGACGACUGCGUGCGGGAGGUGUGUGUGCGUAUGCGCGUGAUGCUCCCAAUCGACGACGCGUAUGCGCAUGUGUGGCGUGGGCGGUGCUCCACGCGAUCUUGCGUCUUUUCCCCCUUCCCUUCCAUUUUUUUAAAAAUGUUUUCCGCUUCUCCAUCAAGCGAUGCAUUCACAUGCAGGCGCCUGAACCUGCAUGCCACAUGAGCCCCCUUCUCUUCCUCCCUCAUCCUUCGCUUGCGUUGACUUGUCUUACGGCCACUGGCCGUUCACUUCCCUCUUUCUGCGCGCUCGAGGAUUCACGGAGUCGCUGGCUCGAUCCAG